rfam:Salmo salar isolate Sally breed double haploid chromosome ssa11, whole genome shotgun sequence.
UGUAUGCACUCAUGUAUGUCGCUCUGGAUAAGAGCAUCUGCUAAAUGACUAAAA